GAUGGAGUCUUCAUCUGUUCAGCUGCUAUAACAAAGACCCAAUGACUGGGCACCUUAUAAAAUACAGAAAUUUAUUUCUCACAGUUCUGGAGGCUGGAAGCCCAAGAUCGGAAGGCCAGGCCGGUCCGUUUCUGAUGAGAACCCUCUCCUAGGUUACAGACUGCUGCUGACUCCUUGUAUCCUCGAGUGGCAGAGAGCAGGGAGAGGAAGCAAGCGCUCUUGGGACUCUAACAAGCAAGAUGAACUGCCUUAGGACAAAAGGGCCCACGGACACGCAGCCAGGAGCCAAGAAGGGGAGAAGGUGGAAGGCACCAGGGCGUUGGUGCUGGCCACACGGUGUUGACAUUGCAGGCCCGGGGAGUGGCUGUGCCGAGGCCUCGGAGAAGGAAGACGCUGUGGUGUGUCACCAAGGAUGGGGCAGUGGGGUUGAAGUCUUGAAGAACAAACAACCGUUUCCUAGGCGGGUAAGAAAGUUCAUUGCCCAAGAUGUCUCAAUAUUGAGAAGUCAGCUACCAGACAGCAGAUGUGAAUGGAAAGGCCCAGAUCUCUGCCUCUGUUGGAAACGUUUCCUUCCAAACCACCACUCUGCUUGCUUGCUUGAAACCUCGCUGCAUUGCCAGGAAAUCAAGUCCGGGCCUGCCUGCAGGUGGACGAGAGACUACACAGGGCACAGGUGAACCAUCCCAGCUGCGGCCACCCUGACCCACCAGUGUCCAACCAAACCAGCAGCUGACCACAGACACGUGAGUGAACCUGGCCAAGACCAGAAGAACCGCCUAGCUGAGCCCGGA